UACUGGGAGGAAAGAAAAAGAGAAAAUUAAAGCCAAUGAGUCAGUUCUGAGACGGUGAGCAGAACAAAUGUCGCAUGUGUACCUGCAUCUCUCCUAUAGGUGUGAUCCUGAGGAGUUGUAUAUAAGAAAUUAACUCAUAAGUCACCCAGAAGAGCCAUGCGAUCUUCAGUUUGCAUUGUGGACAUUUCCUCAGACCCACUUGGUUUGACUGGGAGAAGAGCAUUCCCAAAAGAUUUUUUACAGACAUUACUGCAUUUCUUUGGGUAUACAGAGCUUCACACAUGGAGACUUUGAAAGAAUAUAAAAAUUCUCCUAGUGCAUUUGGGGGAGUCCAACUUUUACAGUUCUAAAGUAUGUCACACAUAGCAAGUCAGUCACUGGAGGAGGCAUCAGCGAUGUGAGGCCUUUGAUGCUUUCUGCUAUAAUGGAGGCCAGGGGCCAGAGUCAGUAUUUACACCUUGCAGCACAUUGACCAGCUGUUCCAGCAAAUCAGGUUUGGAAAUUGAUACCCAGAAAGACAAAAAGUGAUUUUCCCAAACCCAUGAUCAUCAUCUCCAUUAUCAUCGUAGCAGCAAAUAUAGUGCUUGCCUAGUGCCAACUACUGAUCUAGGCACUUUCCAUGUGUUAGGAGAAACCCAUGUAAUCUUUAGAACAACCAUGAGGUGGGUACUGUCAUCCCCAUCUUACAGAUGAAGCAGAAGCACAGAGAGCUCACACGGUGGCAAGUGGCUGGGAUUUGA